ACCAAGCUUACGAGUCACAAAUAGGACGAAACGCGCGUCCUGGAU
rnacentral:hammerhead_ribozyme from 1 species